GUUACUUUGGCAGAUUAGUGCUUUAAAUUUAGAAUUUAAAUAUGUAUUAUAGUACAGGUAAUA
rnacentral:tRNA from 1 species